rnacentral:tRNA from 1 species
GGGAUCGUAGCUCAACUGGACAGAGCGCGAGUUUCCUAAACUUGAGGUUGGGAGUUCGAUUCUCCCCGGUCCCA